rnacentral:rRNA from 1 species
GCAGCAGGCGCGCAAAUUACCCACUCCCGGCACGGGGAGGUAGUGACGAAAAAUAACGAUACGGGACUCAUCCGAGGCCCCGUAAUCGGAAUGAGUACACUCUAAACCCUUUAACGAGUAUCCAUUGGAGGGCAAGUCUGGUGCCAGCAGCCGCGGUAAUUCCAGCUCCAAUAGCGUAUAUUAAAGUUGUUGCGGUUAAAAAGCUCGUAGUUGGAUUUGUGUCUCACGCUGUCGGUUCACCGUUNGUCGGUGUUAACUGGCAUGCCUGUGCGGACGUCCUGCCGGUGGAUGCGGUCGGCCGUGGGCCUCUGGUCUGCGUGUCGGCGGUCCGAUGCAAUCCUACCGCGGUGCUCUUCACCGAGUGUCGAGGUGGGCCGGCACGUUUACUUUGAACAAAUUAGAGUGCUCAAAGCAGGCAGUGGUUCGCCUGAAUAUUGUGUGCAUGGAAUAAUGGAAUAGGACCUCGGUUCUAUUUUGUUGGUUUUCGGAACCUGAGGUAAUGAUUAAUAGGGACAGACGGGGGCAUUCGUAUUGCGACGUUAGAGGUGAAAUUCUUGGAUCGUCGCAAGACGAACCUAAGCGAAAGCAUUUGCCAUGAGUGUUUUCAUUAAUCAAGAACGAAAGUUAGAGGUUCGAAGGCGAUCAGAUACCGCCCUAGUUCUAACCAUAAACGAUGCCAGCUAGCGAUCCGCCGAAGUUCCUCCGAUGACUCGGCGGGCAGCUUCCGGGAAACCAAAGCUUUUGGGUUCCGGGGGAAGUAUGGUUGCAAAGCUGAAACUUAAAGGAAUUGACGGAAGGGCACCACCAGGAGUGGAGCCUGCGGCUUAAUUUGACUCAACACGGGAAACCUCACCAGGCCCGGACACCGGAAGGAUUGACAGAUUGAUAGCUCUUUCUUGAUUCGGUGGGUGGUGGUGCAUGG